AYUGGSGSGGGCYUAAMCAUGCAAGUCGAGCGGCAGCACGGGUACUUGUACCUGGUGGCGAGCGGCGGACGGGUGAGUAAUGCCUAGGAAUCUGCCUGGUAGUGGGGGAUAACGCUCGGAAACGGACGCUAAUACCGCAUACGUCCUACGGGAGAAAGCAGGGGACCUUCGGGCCUUGCGCUAUCAGAUGAGCCUAGGUCGGAUUAGCUAGUUGGUGAGGUAAUGGCUCACCAAGGCGACGAUCCGUAACUGGUCUGAGAGGAUGAUCAGUCACACUGGAACUGAGACACGGUCCAGACUCCUACGGGAGGCAGCAGUGGGGAAUAUUGGACAAUGGGCGAAAGCCUGAUCCAGCCAUGCCGCGUGUGUGAAGAAGGUCUUCGGAUUGUAAAGCACUUUAAGUUGGGAGGAAGGGCAUUAACCUAAUACGUUAGUGUUUUGACGUUACCGACAGAAUAAGCACCGGCUAACUCUGUGCCAGCAGCCGCGGUAAUACAGAGGGUGCAAGCGUUAAUCGGAAUUACUGGGCGUAAAGCGCGCGUAGGUGGUUCGUUAAGUUGGAUGUGAAAUCCCCGGGCUCAACCUGGGAACUGCAUUCAAAACUGUCGAGCUAGAGUAUGGUAGAGGGUGGUGGAAUUUCCUGUGUAGCGGUGAAAUGCGUAGAUAUAGGAAGGAACACCAGUGGCGAAGGCGACCACCUGGACUGAUACUGACACUGAGGUGCGAAAGCGUGGGGAGCAAACAGGAUUAGAUACCCUGGUAGUCCACGCCGUAAACGAUGUCAACUAGCCGUUGGGAGCCUUGAGCUCUUAGUGGCGCAGCUAACGCAUUAAGUUGACCGCCUGGGGAGUACGGCCGCAAGGUUAAAAACUCAAAUGAAUUGACGGGGGCCCGCACAAGCGGUGGAGCAUGUGGUUUAAUUCGAAGCCACGCGAAGAAACCUUACCAGCCUUGACAUCCAAUGAACUUUCCAGAGAUGGAUUGGCUGCCUUCGGCACCAUUGAGACCAGGUUGCCUGCAUGACUUGUCGRUCCAGCAUUCGCKGAUUCCG
rnacentral:rRNA from 1 species